rnacentral:rRNA from 1 species
UACAGAGGGUGCGAGCGUUGUCCGGAAUCACUGGGCGUAAAGGGCGCGUAGGCGGCUUGAUAAGCGUGCGGUGAAAGCCCGGGGCUCAACCCCGGGUCGGCCGUGCGAACUGUCGAGCUGGAGCACUGUAGAGGCAGGUGGAAUUCCGGGUGUAGCGGUGGAAUGCGUAGAGAUCCGGAGGAACACCGACGGCGCAGGCAGCGUCCUGGCCGCUUGCUGACACUGAGGCACGAAAGCUGGGGGAGCAAACAGG